UUCCAUGUCCCCUUGGGCCUGCCAGCUGUGGCCAUCUCCCUCCUAAGCUACAGAAGAACACGUUCUUGCUUACUAAAAAUGUCACUAUGUACUUGGUAUCGGAUACACUGACUGGCCAAGUGGCGCCC